UGUGUGUGUGAAUUCUAUUUAGAUUUCAGACAUGCUUCUACAAUAAAGAGGACACUGGCAUUACCGCAUUUACUUCACUGAAUUUCCUAUGCUGGACCAGAGUCAAGGCAUAAAUGAAGGGAGACGCGUGCUACCUUCAUGAAAGCAUGGGAACAUGCGCUCAGCUGACACGGGUGCUUCCACUGGCCUGAGCACCUCAUCUGAUCUCCAGGUCACAUGUGUUGUCAUCACCUGACCUCCACACGUGCACCACUAUAUUAACAUGCCCAUACCCAUAAAAUACAAGAUGAAAACUCAACUGCUGGGUAAAAGAAAUGAGCAUCCCUAUUCACACACACUAACUGCGAUCACAAUGGAUCACUGCACACACAUCUAGAAGAAAAUAUAGAGGAAAAAUAUUCUCAACCUGAAAGUAACAUAACUUUUUACAUAGUGCAUUAGAAACUGAUAAAUAGGCUUGGUCAAAACUUAAAAAUCAACACUGUUAGGAAAACACAAAAACAACAACAAAAACUACAUGCUAUAAGAGAGUAUUGCCGUUAUCUAGAUUUAACAAAAGUACUGUAUCAAAGCAUAUGAGGAGCUCUCAAAACUCAGUAAAGACUUCAUUUUUAAAAUAAGUUAUUUAAAUGAUAUCUCAUCAAAAGAUGACAUACAAAGGACCAAGAAGUGUGUGAAAAUCUGCCCAAGAUAUUUCAGAGUGAGAAAAUGCUCACUGACAUCACAGUAUGCUAUCACACGCUCACUAAAGGGCAUGAAUUGAAAAUGCUGACAAAGCAAAUAUUGGCAAGAACAGGGACAAAAUCAACUCCCCUCCCCUGUGGUAAAACACAUACAAUGAUCCUGGGAAAUGGUUUGGCAAUUUCUCAAAAACGGCACUUCCAGGUAUAUAAUUGUUGAGAAGGAAAAUGAAAGCCUGGGGUCUGGGGAUGCAGCUCUGGGAGGAGCUUUGCUUAGCACACGUCACGUCCUAAGCUCAAUGCACAGCUCCACAGAGUCCAACAGCCAGGUAAAAUCAAAUCAUAGCUAAGAACUGAAAACAUGGCCACAGGAGGAAUCCUCACAGAGUAUUUAUAUGGGAGCUUUAUUCACAAGAACUUAGGACAGGAAUAAACUCUCUGUAGAACCAGGACUUUUAUUUCUGUUAUUCAACAUUAAGAACUCUCAAUAGCUCCAACAACAUGGCUGAAAACAUGCUGAACAAAAAAAGUAUACAGUGUAUUUUUUUAUACAAAAUUGUAACUAGGGUAACUGGCUUUAAAGCAUAGGGGACCUCUUUGGUGUGAUAAAAGCAUGUUUAAUCUAGAUUGUAAUAAUGCUGACUACAAGAAUAUACACAUUCCAUCAAACUAUACACUGAGACUGAAUAUACUUUAUGUAACAUGAAUCAUGUUAUUUUAAAAACUGAUUUCCCGGGGCUGAAGAGACUGCUCAGUAGUCAAGACCACUUGUUACUCUUGCAGAGGAACCAGGUUCUGUCCCCAGCACUCAUGGAGCAGCAAAUAACCUGCUCCAAUAUUGGAGAGAUCCAAUAUCCACUCCUGGCCACUGGAUGAAACAGGAAAUAAGGUGAUGCGCACACAUGCAUUCAAGCAAAAGACACACAAAAUAAAAGUAAACAAUGACGUGGUUUCCCUUAAAUAUUCUGCAUAUUUCAUAAUACCAAUUUAAGUAAUAAGUAUUUUUCCUUUGAUUCAUGUGUACUGGCAUAAAAAAUAAAUUUCUACUACACAAAUUUAUAUUUAUUUGUAUAUACUAAUUUAGUAUUAUUGUGUCUAUACUAAUUUUGUAUUGUAAUGGCAAAAAUGAAUAACUAAUAUUGAGAUAGGAUACAAGUCUAAAAUAUUCACUUUCUGAAACAUUAUAUUAAAUAUUUCCAAAUCCCUGAGCAGUGCCUCUUUAGUCUAGAAACUACUUGUGGCAAACUCUAUUUUCCAGAUAAAGCUGCUAUUAUAUUUUCCAUAUUGCAUGCUCUUCUGCAAUGUGACCUUGCUACUCACACCCUCACCACAACACGGUUUUUCUUUGCCUCUCUUUGAAUCUGGCUCAUCCUGGUGACUUAUGUGGCCACUAUUAUAUAUGGAAGCGACUUCAAAGACCUCAGGCACUAAAGCAAAGGAAACAGCACAGCCUCUUCCUGCUCUCUCGGGAUGCUCUGUAAUGAAGUAUUACUUCCAAGAAUUGAGUACCAUGCUUUAGCCACAUGAAGAAGCUAAGAACAAGCCUUUCUGUCCAUAGCUCCAGGAAGGCCCAACUCAACAGGUAGGAGCCACAGCUACUCUGGACCUCUGGCUCACAUGAGCCUUAAAAAUAGCUACAGAAAUCUGGCUAUAACUGCUUAUGAGAUCUAAGGAUGGGAGCAAUAAGUGGGGCUUGCUUAACCCAAAGAACAGUGAAAGCAGUGCACACUGAUUUUAAGACGCUGUGUUUGGGGGUAUAAAAUAGUAAUAAUAACAUGAUCAAAAAUAAGCCUAGGGAAGUCCAGAUGAGAAAUUGCAGACUCUGAGUGAGGCAAGGCUAGGCUGGGCCACCUGUGUGUUUUUCCCUAGGCCAGACCCUACAAAAAGUCUUUCUUCAAUCUCUAGUGGCCAGGAUGGAGGAAAUGGCUAAAGUUACAACAGCUAAGACUGUGAUUUCUCGGUCCAUAUACAUUCUCAGCAGGCUUGCUGCUGCCCCAAAUGUGUGCCAAGCCCUGAAUUUUAAGUACGUGCUUAAUUCGUAAUGACAAGAGGGAUACAAUUUUAUUUUCAUGCUGUAGAGAAAUUGAUGCUAGAGCAACUUGUCAUUACUACAUAACCUUUAAAGAUGACAAUUCAACUUCAAUCUGAUGUUCUAAAGCCAUCGGCAUACGGACACUUACCAGUUCCAUGAUAAAUCUGCACUUUGUAAUUAAUGUCUCCCACGCUACUGCUCUUUUGAGUCACCUGAUCUUGCUCAGAAAAAUGACAAGCAAGAGUUGUUCACUGACAUAUUUCUGGCAUACCAGAAA